UCCGGAGCGUGGCCGUCCACGUAUCGCGGUCGUUGCGAGGUAGAUCGCUUUCACGCAACGACUUUCACAUGACUACCUCACAAAGAUCGUUAAAAGUAUACAGUCGAGCUAAUGAUUUUUCACUAGGGAUGCCACGUGGACUGGUCCUCCACCAACCAGGUAAAUGCUGGCGGUGCCAGCUCGUCUAUCAGGAGGGCCUUGAUUACAUGGCCAGCUCAGCAACAAGGAAUGCUCGCUAUGGUGGGUGUUGCUUUCGUUUUGUUAGGGUUCUUGAGGCCGCGAGGAGGAAGGGCGCAGCUAUGGUGCUGCUAGGGUUCCACGAUUCCGAGCAAGGUGGGUCUCUGUUCUUGGAGGGGAGGAGGUAGCGAAGACGGCAUUCCAGGCUGCCACAUUCGCCGUGGUCUGGAAUCGCUAGAAAGAUUUCGUGGAUUUUGGUGCGCUCUAGCUCCCCGCUUCUCUCCUCUUGCAUUGCGGUGCUGCGCUCGUCACAAUGCCGUCGAGCCCGAAUUAUAGCGUCCGGGCGCGCAAGGUUGAGAAGAUUUUCAAGCAGUUUGAUGGCAACGGCGAUGGCCGGCUCAAUCGCGACGAGAUGGCAGCGCUGGUGAUUGCUGUGAAUCCCCGGGUGAAAUUCAGCGAUGAGCAGAUCAGAGCUAUCCUGGACGAGGUGUUUCGGACCUAUGGAGAGUUCAUCGAUGGCAAGAAGGGGCUCACUUUCGACGGGCUCUUGAGGACUUACGACGAUGGCGCCGGCGACGUGGACAGGGAUUUCGAUGCGCUGGGCUUGCAGCUGGAGAAAGACGAUGGUGCUGGAGCUGGGACGGAUGUGGAGAGCGUGGGAGACGAGAGCAGGAGUAGCGAGCGAACGGGGCUAUCAAAGGCUGGUGGCGUGGUCUCGAUCAUGGACGAGAGACCGGAGGCUGCAAGCACCAAACGCAGGCAGAAUGUAGGUGCUUGGGCGGCUUCACCCAACAAUGGGAUUGUCUACGACGAUACGUGGAGACUCGUGGAGGAUCUGGAAAUUCUGCUUCGACGAGCCGAGGCCAAGAUCGAGGCACGGAGGAAAGCGAAGCUGAGCAGGAAGAAAUCGUCGUCGGCUAAUGGUGUGGAUGUCUCCGGCCAGCUUGCGGGUGGUGACGAAGUCGUGAGAAGAACCAUGCACGACCUCGGGACGGAGUCAUCGGUUUACCAAAAGGCUCUGGGAGAUCUUCGCCAGAAAGCUGAUGCUUCGAGAACGCAGGACGAGGCGUUUGAUGCACAUAUGGCCAUGGGACGCUCGCUCUUUGAUCACAAGUUCUACGAGGAAGCUCUGAUCUGCUUCAAGAGAGCGACUGAGCUCCGGCCAACCGACGUGCGACCGCAUUUUCGGACGGGCAACACUCUUUACUCGCUCGAGAAGUUUUUGGAAGCACGAGAAGCGUACGAGCUGGCCUUGGAUGCUGCAAACACCGGAAAUCCUCAGUGGACCAAUCUUGUUCCGCAGAUCCACGUCAACUUGGGAGUUGCUCUGGAAGGCGAAGGCAUGCUGCUGAACGCUUGUGAGCACUACAGAGAAGCAGCGAUACUCCAUCCUCCUCACUAUCGAGCUCUUAAACUUCUGGGAAGCGGCCUGUAUGGCGUUGGCGAAUACAGAGCGGCAGAAAAGGCUCUCGGCGAAGCGAUCUUUUUGAAGUCGGACUAUGCUGAUGCUCACUGCGAUCUCGGGUCUGUUCUUCAUGCUUUGGGGGACGAUGAAAGAGCCAUAGUGGAGUUCCAGAAGGCUAUUGAUAUCAAGCCGGAUCACAUGGACGCACUGUACAACCUUGGAGGACUGUUGCGUGACACAGGGAGGUUUCAGAGAGCAGCAGAGGUUUACUCGAGGGUGCUGUCUUUGAAUCCUAGUCACUGGCAAGCGCAGCUAAACAGAGCGGUUUCUUUACUCGGUGCCGGUGAUACCGAGGAAGCAAGGAAGGCGCUGAAAGAAGCCUUCAAGAUGACAAACCGGGUCGAGCUUUAUGAUGCUAUCGGCCACCUCAAGCACCUCCAGAAGAAACCGAAGGGACUGAAUGGAAUGAUCAAAGGUGCCCAGGAUGUCGAGCGCAGCGACAGUGGCUUUGUCAUCGCAGAUCCGUCAACUUUCACAAGAGUUUCCAACAAAACGACACCUCGACCGUGGAUUGCGCACGCUCUUAAGAUCCGGGCUUUUCAGAAGCAUACCAGGCUCCAUCGCUGCAACCUCGCCAGCUUGAGCAAAGAGAUGGCAAACAAACCAUCGGCAUCUCAAACAGCCGGUACAGCCGGGCACAUUUCGGAGGCGCUCAUACGCAAGGCAGAUCUUGAGAAGUCUCUGAGGAGAAUGCUCGGCUUCUUGCCACCGACUACUUUCCAGUCGGCGGUGAAGGCAAUCAACGAGAAAGUGCUGAGCGUGCUGGACAAAGUAGGCUCUGGUCGAGUGGACCUGGGAAUGUUCUUGGCGACAAUAGCACCGCUCUGCGCAGGUCCAGUCGACAAGAGGAAGCGGACGGCUUUCGACUGCCUGGUGCACCGAUCGACCAAGGGACUGGGUGCCGAGAUCGUCAAGUCGGACGCUAAAACGUACUUCAAGCACCUGCGAGCCAUUUACUUAUCCUCCGAGUCGACGAGCGAGCUGUGGGAAGUUCGUGGCGAAGACGAACACGCCAACAUCUCGUAUCCCGAGUUCGUGGAGAUGUUUGACGACCGGGACUGGGCCUUUGGCGUUCUGCACACCGUGGUGAAGCUCGAGGCCGGGGACCGAGUUCGUCACAACGGGAUAGCCUGCGCGGUGUGCUCGUAUCCCAUAACAGGUCCUCGUUUCAAGGAGACAAACGCCAACUUCAGCCUGUGCUCUACGUGCUACGGCGAUGGAAAAGUCCCGGAUCACCCCAAGCAGGAGAGCUACUCCUUCCGGGAGUACAACUCGGAGACGGACGCUGUCAAGGACAAGCUACGAUUCCUCGGAAGGUCAUAGAAAGGGAGUUCUUCUGCUGGUGCUCAGUACCCCUGCCAAAUUGGUGGGUGCUAGCUACCAGCAGAAGCUGUGUGUAGAUAUACGUCGUGGUUACUGGUUGGAAGAUUUUCAUGGUCGACGAGAGAAAUAAGCCAGUGUAAUGUGAAGAACGAAAGAAAAGUCUGAUAUGUUUUGUUUAUCCAAUCGAUGAGGAUAUCUUGCGUCGGUGGACAAAGAGAAUUCCAUCACAGGAAAUCUUUUAAGCUCGUCACACUGAGCGGAUUGAUCGGGACAAAAAAGAAGAACCGAUCAUCCAGAGCUAAGUUUAAUCUCAAGACUUUGACCCUCGAGGAGUACCUGGGUACUUAGUGGAGAUUACGUCGGGCUCUGCUUAUUCUACUAACUUCUCGCCUUUUCGAUGCAUGUAAGACGUCGCGAUCCGGCUGGGACUAUGGAAGAAAAGUCAGAUCACGGGGCACACAAAAAAAAGAGAUGGAGAGAGAGAAGUGGAGGAAAUUUUCGAGCAAGAGGGCUUGAGAGCUCACAUGAAAUGAGAGAAGUAAGUAGCGUAUAAAAAUGUCGGUGUUCUAAAGGGAAGAACUCCCGGUUCUACGCGAAAGGCGAUGGUGGUAUGAGAACGGUGGGUCAUAUCAAUGAAAGUGGGAAAGAAAGGGGGCAAAA